CGGGGGGAGCAAGCGUUGUUCGGAUUUACUGGGCGUAAAGGGCGCGUAGGCGGCGUGGCAAGUCACUUGUGAAAUCUCCGGGCUUAACCCGGAGCGGUCAAGUGAUACUGUCGUGCUAGAGUGCGGAAGGGGCAACUGGAAUUCUUGGUGUAGCGGUGAAAUGCGUAGAUAUCGAGAGGAACACCUGCGGCGAAGGCGGGUUGCUGGGCCGACACUGACGCUGAGGCGCGAAAGCCAGGGGAGCGAACGGGAUUAGAUACCCCGGUAGUCCUGGCCUUAAACGAUGGAUGCUUGGUGUCCGGGGUUAUAAAGUCCCCGGGUGCCGUCGCUAACGCUUUAAGCAUCCCGACUUGGGGAGUACGCACGCAAGUGUG
rnacentral:rRNA from 1 species